UACGUAGGGUGCAAGCGUUGUCCGGAAUUAUUGGGCGUAAAGAGCUCGUAGGCGGUCUGUUGCGUCGGCUGUGAAAACCCGGGGCUCAACCCCGGGCCUGCAGCCGAUACGGGCAGACUAGAGUUCGGCAGGGGAGACUGGAAUUCCUGGUGUAGCGGUGAAAUGCGCAGAUAUCAGGAAGAACACCGACGGCGAAGGCAGCUCGCUGGGACGGUACUGACGCUGAGGCGCGAAAGCGUGGGGAGCGAACAGG
rnacentral:rRNA from 1 species